rnacentral:rRNA from 1 species
GACUGCAGUCUGCAACUCGACUGCACGAAGCUGGAAUCGCUAGUAAUCGCGGAUCAGCACGCCGCGGUGAAUACGUUCCCGGGCCUUGUACACACCGCCCGUCACACCAUGGAAGUCUGCAAUGCCCGAAGCCGGUGGCCUAACCAUUUAUGUGGAAGGAGCCGUCUAAGGCAGGGCAGAUGACUGGGGUGAAGUCGUAACAAGGUAGC